rfam:Candidatus Syntrophoarchaeum caldarius isolate BOX2 BOX2_8_reassembly_contig01, whole genome shotgun sequence.
GUUGCAGAGCAAGAUCCAGGAAAACAAGGAUUGAAAC